CCUACGGGUGGCAGCAGUCGAGAAUCUUUCACAAUGGGGGAAACCCUGAUGGUGCGACGCCGCGUGGGGGAAUGAAGGUCUUCGGAUUGUAAACCCCUGUCAUGUGGGAGCAAAUUAAAAAGAUAGUACCACAAGAGGAAGAGACGGCUAACUCUGUGCAAGCAGCCGCGGGAAUACAGAGGUAUCAAGCGUUGUUCGGAAUCAAUGGGCGUAAAGCGUGCGUAGGCUGUUUCGUAAGUCGUGUGUGAAAGGCGCGGGCUCAACCCGCGGACGGCACAUGAUACUGCGAGACUAGAGUGAUGGAGGGGGAACCGGAAUGCCCGGUGUAGCAGUGAAAUGCGUAGAUAUCGAGAGGAACACUCGUGGCGAAGGCGGGUUCCUGGACAUUAACUGACGCUGAGGCACGAAGGCCAGGGGAGCGAAAGGGAUUAGAUACCCCUGUAGUC
rnacentral:rRNA from 1 species